rnacentral:misc_RNA from 1 species
GAUGAAGAACGCAGCGAAAUGCGAUAAGUAGUGUGAAUUGCAGAAUUCAGUGAAUCAUCGAAUCUUUGAACGCACAUUGCGCCCCUUGGUAUUCCAUGGGGCACGCCUGUUCGAGCGUCAUUUGUACCUUCAAGCUUUGCUUGGUGUUGGGUGUUUGUCUCGCCUUUGCGUGUAGACUCGCCUUAAAAUAAUUGGCAGCCGGCGUAUUGAUUUCGGAGCGCAGUACAUCUCGCGCUUUGCACUCAUAACGACAGCGUCCAAAAGUACAUUUUACACUCUUGACCUCGGAUCAGGUAGGGAUACCCGCUGAACUUAAGCAUAUCAAUAAGCGGAGGA